rnacentral:ncRNA from 2 species
UUCUUAUCUAGAGAAACUGAGGGACUGGCCCAAUGAAGUUUCAGCAACCAGUGUGUUUCAUUCGCAUGCAUGGUGCUAAGUCCAGCAGGUUUUCCUGAAAGAUAAGGC